GAUGAACGCUGGCGGCGUGCCUAAUACAUGCAAGUCGAACGAAGAGAUAGCUUGCUAUCUCUUAGUGGCGAACGGGUGAGUAAUACAUAAACAAUCUGCCCAUACGACUGGGAUAACCGUUGGAAACGAUGGCUAAUACCGGAUAGGUGAGAAGGAGGCAUCUUCUUCUCAUUAAAGUUGGGAUACAGCACGUGUGGAUGAGUUUAUGGCGCAUUAGCUAGUUGGCGGGGUAACGGCCCACCAAGGCGAUGAUGCGUAGCCGACCUGAGAGGGUGACCGGCCACACUGGGACUGAGACACGGCCCAGACUCCUACGGGAGGCAGCAGUAGGGAAUUUUCGGCAAUGGGGGAAACCCUGACCGAGCAACGCCGCGUGAGUGAUGAAGGCCUUCGGGUUGUAAAGCUCUGUUGUAAGGGAAGAACGGCGAUGAUAGGGAAUGAUCAUCGAGUGACGGUACCUUACCAGAAAGCCACGGCUAACUACGUGCCAGCAGCCGCGGUAAUACGUAGGUGGCAAGCGUUAUCCGGAAUUAUUGGGCGUAAAGGGUGCGUAGGCGGCCAUUUAAGUCUAAGGUGAAAGUUCGAGGCUCAACUUCGAAUUGCCUUAGAAACUGGGUGGCUAGAGUGCAGGAGAGGGCAAUGGAAUUCCAUGUGUAGCGGUAAAAUGCGUAGAUAUAUGGAGGAACACCAGUGGCGAAGGCGGUUGCCUGGCCUGUAACUGACGCUGAAGCACGAAAGCGUGGGGAGCAAAUAGGAUUAGAUACCCUAGUAGUCCACGCCGUAAACGAUGAUUACUAAGUGUUGGGGAAACUCAGUGCUGCAGUUAACGCAAUAAGUAAUCCGCCUGGGGAGUAUGCACGCAAGUGUGA
rnacentral:rRNA from 1 species